rnacentral:tRNA from 2 species
UGUCUCAGUCGGUAUAGUGUGAGACUCUUAAUCUCAGGGUCGUGGGUUCAAGCCCCAC